UGUUGGUUUAGUGUGUGGCAAAGAUGUCUCUAAAGUCACAGAAGUUAGAUUCACUCUUGAUGAUGGAACAUGACGAAUUGACUGUAAAAGAUGGGUGAAUGAAACUUUCGACGCUAGAGAAAUGGAGUCGGUGCGAGAUGGAACCUAUGAGCGUCUCAAUGGUCAUUUGAAGACUUUUCAGGAUAAAACGUAGCUUCUUGUUUUCUCUGUGAGGCCUAUAAUGGACUUCAAUGAGGUUACCUUUCUGUUAUAGGAAAAGGAUGGUGAUAAAUCAAUGACAUGUGGACGGUGGUAAUUGAAGAUUAAAAGCAAUGGCCAGGAUGUUCUGAAGAUUAAGAGCAGUGGA